GGGAGAGGGGAGACAACACUCGCUCGUGG
rnacentral:misc_RNA from 1 species